rnacentral:rRNA from 1 species
AUUGAACGCUGGCGGCAGGCCUAACACAUGCAAGUCGAGAGAGCGGCGGACGGGGGAGUAAUGUCUGGGAACCUGCCUGUUGGAGGGGGAUAACUACUGGAAACGGUAGCUAAUACCGCAUACCAUCAGAUGUGCCCAGAUGGGUUUAGCUAGUAGGUGGGGUAAUGGCUCACCUAGGCGACGAGCCCUAGCUGGUCUGAGAGGAUGACCAGCCACACUGGAACUGAGACACGGUCCAGACUCCUACGGGAGGCAGCAGUGGGGAAUAUUGCACAAGGGGCGCAAGCCUGAUGCAGCCAUGCCGCGUGUAUGAAGAAGGCCUUCGGGUUGUAAAGUACUUUCAGUCGGGAGGCGUUACCGACAGAAGAAGCACCGGCUAACUCCGUGCCAGCAGCCGCGGUAAUUC